rnacentral:rRNA from 1 species
UGCAGUCGAGCGGAACGAUGGGAGCUUGCUCCCAGGCGUCGAGCGGCGGACGGGUGAGUAACACGUGGGAAUCUGCCCAUUAGUGGGGGAUAACUCGGGGAAACUCGAGCUAAUACCGCAUAAUCCCUACGGGGGAAAGCAGGGGAUCUUCGGACCUUGCGCUGAUGGAUGAGCCCGCGUCGGAUUAGCUUGUUGGUGGGGUAAUGGCCCACCAAGGCGACGAUCCGUAACUGGUCUGAGAGGAUGGCCAGUCACACCGGGACUGAGACACGGCCCGGACUCCUACGGGAGGCAGCAGUGGGGAAUCUUGGACAAUGGGCGCAAGCCUGAUCCAGCCAUGCCGCGUGUGUGAAGAAGGCCUUCGGGUUGUAAAGCACUUUCAGUAGGGAGGAAGGCUUUGGGCUAAUACCCUGGAGUACUUGACGUUACCUACAGAAGAAGCACCGGCUAAUUUCGUGCCAGCAGCCGCGGUAAUACGAAAGGUGCGAGCGUUAAUCGGAAUUACUGGGCGUAAAGCGCGCGUAGGCGGUGUGUUAAGUCGGAUGUGAAAGCCCAGGGCUCAACCUUGGAAUUGCAUCCGAUACUGGCACGCUAGAGUGCAGUAGAGGGAGGUGGAAUUUCCGGUGUAGCGGUGAAAUGCGUAGAGAUCGGAAGGAACACCAGUGGCGAAGGCGGCCUCCUGGACUGACACUGACGCUGAGGUGCGAAAGCGUGGGGAGCAAACAGGAUUAGAUACCCUGGUAGUCCACGCCGUAAACGAUGUCUACUAGCCGUUGGGGUCCUUAGUGACUUUGGUGGCGCAGCUAACGCGAUAAGUAGACCGCCUGGGGAGUACGGCCGCAAGGUUAAAACUCAAAUGAAUUGACGGGGGCCCGCACAAGCGGUGGAG